GUUUGGUGGUGAACACGAUGGGACAUUACUAACUAACAAUACAUUUGGAACAAUUUCCACUUGCUUCAUGUAACUGUGUAUGCAGAGUUUAGCUGCCUUAUUUGUUGGGAGGUGAUGAAUCUGCCAAUUACUACCCCAUGUGCCCAUAACUUCUGCAAAUCAUGCUUGGAAGGUGCUUUUGCGGGCAAGACAUUCUUGAGAGAGAGAAGCAGUGGUGGACGG
rnacentral:misc_RNA from 1 species